UCAAUGCAAACCCUUAAAUUUUUCACAAUCCUCAAAGUAGUACAUGGUUUUGUUAGACAUACGCAAGCCUCCUCUAUGUAUUGACAUACGCUUAAAACAAUGAAAGGCGGCAAUUAAAACAAAUGCUUGACAACAAUGACAAGAAACAAACGCUUGACUUCUUGACAUUAUCUAUUUACUUAUUCUGUCUGCCAUCCUCUCUUGUUUAAUUUUCUUCUCUCACUCAAGAGUCUCUCUUUCUUGCUCUCAUGGAACAGAUACAACACAGAAAUGUGGAAGUAAGAGGACUAAAGCUUCAUGUAGCGGAAAUUGGACACGGUCCGAAAGAGGUGCUUUUCUUGCAUGGGUUUCCAGAAAUAUGGUACACAUGGAGGCAUCAAAUGCUUGCCGUGGCAAACAAAAGGGUACAGGGCAAUAGCCAUUGAUUUCAGGGGCUACGGACUUUCGGAGCAGCCAGCUGAACCCGAAAAGGGAACCUUCAAAGACCUCGCUGAUGAUGUUGUUGCCCUUUUGGAUUCUUUGGGGAUUAACAAGGUAGAUCCAUUCUUUCCUCCAGGCACUUGAUUUUGCUGCUACUGUUUUCCCCCAUCUGCGGGCAGGUGGUACCUGUUUAUCAGUUGGCGCUUAAUGUUUAGCUCUCAAAUUUUUGGGCGGAGAGCUAAACCCUGUACAUUUCUGAAACAAUGAGCAAUUGCCAGAUCAAGUCAAUCAGCUAAUUCUCAGUUUCCUUGACAAACAUGGUAUCUAACAUAAAUACUCUCAGUGUGGCUAAGGACAAUAUAAUAUAGGAGAGGAAAUAAUAUACCGUAUAUGGCAUACGCAGAAAAGGCUGGGCCUUACAUUACAUAUUGGGGAAUAAAGAAAUUCGUGCCCCUAUUGUGUUGGCUUCUUAAUCUGGAAAUGUAUUUAUGACCUUCAAUGUCCACUAUUCAACUGCUUAUGGUGGACAUAUGAGGUCCAAAUAAGGAUUCUCUACCUACAUUUUUGUUUUCUGAUACCCUGCUUAUAAUCAGUUCAUUUUAAAUCA